rnacentral:rRNA from 1 species
AUUGAACGCUGGCGGCAGGCUUAACACAUGCAAGUCGAGCGGAGAUGAGGUGCUUGCACCUUAUCUUAGCGGCGGACGGGUGAGUAAUGCUUAGGAAUCUGCCUAUUAGUGGGGGACAACAUUCCGAAAGGAAUGCUAAUACCGCAUACGUCCUACGGGAGAAAGCAGGGGAUCUUCGGACCUUGCGCUAAUAGAUGAGCCUAAGUCGGAUUAGCUAGUUGGUGGGGUAAAGGCCUACCAAGGCGACGAUCUGUAGCGGGUCUGAGAGGCAGAUCCGCCACACUUGGACUGGUACGCGUCCCAGACUCCGAAGGGAGGCAGCAGUGGGGAAUAUUGGACAAUGGGGGGAACCCUGAUCCAGCCAUGCCGCGUGUGUGAAGAAGGCCUUAUGGUUGUAAAGCACUUUAAGCGAGGAGGAGGCUACUGAGACUAAUACUCUUGGAUAGUGGACGUUACUCGCAGAAUAAGCACCGGCUAACUCUGUGCCAGCCGCCGUCGCGGUAA